rnacentral:rRNA from 1 species
AUUGAACGCUGGCGGCAGGCCUAACACAUGCAAGUCGAGCGGAUGAAGGGAGCUUGCUCCUGGAUUCAGCGGCGGACGGGUGAGUAAUGCCUAGGAAUCUGCCUGGUAGUGGGGGAUAACGUCCGGAAACGGGCGCUAAUACCGCAUACGUCCUGAGGGAGAAAGUGGGGGAUCUUCGGACCUCACGCUAUCAGAUGAGCCUAGGUCGGAUUAGCUAGUUGGUGGGGUAAAGGCCUACCAAGGCGACGAUCCGUAACUGGUCUGAGAGGAUGAUCAGUCACACUGAAACUGAGACACGUCCCAGCGCCCUAGGGGGGGCCGAGGGGGGGAAUUUUGGACAAGGGGCGAAAGCCUGAUCCGGCCAUGGCGGGGUGGGGAAGAAGGUCUGCGGUUUGUAAAACCUUUUAAGUUGGGGGGAAGGGGAGUAAGUUAAAACCUUGCUUUUUGGGCGUGACCAACAGAAGAAGCACCGGCGAACUUCGU